rnacentral:rRNA from 1 species
UACGAAGGGGGCUAGCGUUGCUCGGAAUGACUGGGCGUAAAGAGCGCGUAGGCGGUCCGGUAAGUCGGUUGUGAAAACUGGGGGCUCAACCCUCAGAGGCCGACCGAUACUGUCGGGCUAGAGUCCGGAAGAGGCGAGUGGAAUUCCUGGUGUAGCGGUGAAAUGCGCAGAUAUCAGGAGGAACACCAAUGGCGAAGGCAGCUCGCUGGGACGGUACUGACGCUGAGGCGCGAAAGCGUGGGGAGCAAACAGG